rnacentral:lncRNA from 1 species
UCGACUGGUUGCCGACGUUUGGCCUUUGAGCAUAUCAGUAUUGUUCGCCCGACUCGUUCGCAUUUCACGAACACCGGCGGUCUGAUCCACCGCAAGGGGUGUUCUUUUCCGGAAAAGUGGUUGCAGGUGCCAACCCGUGAGCCUUAGAGGGGUUAUAUGCAUGUUAGAGCGGCAGUGGUACUGUCGGGAGGUGUUGCGGUGCGGACCUCCAGGGCACAGGCUUGAGGUUUGCGGUGCGGACCAACAGAGCAGCAUAUUCCAGAUUGGGUAUAUUUGGUCUAUACAUCCGGUUGACGCAUAUGUCUAUGGUAGCAGUCGUUGCAUGCAUACUUACAGUUCUUGCUUUACAGUUGUCUUGCUACUAUAGUAGAUAUCCAUGUUUGCUUCCUGUUCUAGUUACGGUAGCGGUAGCCGUUUAUUCUGUUAUAGUUCUACUUCAUUUCAGUUUAUUGCUACUGCAUUCAGUAUAUCUGCUCAUUACCUUGUUUAUCUCUUCCUGAUCCGGUGAGUACUCCUCGCCUUCUUCGGCUUGCGGUACCCACUGGGAGAGGAGACAUGUUUACAUGUUCUCACCUCCCCCACUAUUUUUCAGGUAUCGCGGGCGGUGAGGUUGAGACGAGACGUGAGACACGUGGAUAGCUGUCGUUAGAGCCUCCGACCCAGUUUGUACUAUUUAGUUAUUACCCUAUUAUUUCUGGUGAUAUAUAGCUUAGUCGGUCUAUAUGGUUCAGUAUUUCAUUAUGUUAAAAUAUUCAAGGAUUUCUAGAUUUUCGUAAAUAAAANNNNNNNNNNNNNNNNNNNNNNNNNUCCCAGCCGACCCCGGUGACCUCCGGCGUGCUUCCCCCGUCGUCCCCGCACGCCGCCGGCCGCCGCUGGGAGCUCCUGCACCCGUCCAGACUCGUGCGGGCCAACCUUGAAGCCGCGCCGCCCCCGAGCACCGCCGCCGCCCACCUUAGGGUGCACGGCCUUCCCCUCGGCCUCCGGCGCCGAUCGGUCGCCGUCCCGAGCUCCUCCGACCGCCGCCUCGCCGCCGGCACCCUUGAACCCGAGAGGAGCUGUGCGGGCUUGAUCUUCGCCGCCGCGCCACCGACUGCCACCCGCCGCCUGCCAGCACCACCUCCGGACCCCUCGGACCGACUGCUCCCGUCCCCGGUAGGGGCGCUCGCCGUCCGGCCGCCGACGGCCAGCCCUAGCUUCCACUGCUCC